UACGAAGGGGGCUAGCGUUGUUCGGAAUUACUGGGCGUAAAGCGCGCGCAGGCGGUCUUCCAAGUCAGUGGUGAAAGCCUGGAGCUCAACUCCAGAACUGCCAUUGAAACUGUUAGACUUGAGUACGAGAGAGGUGAGUGGAAUUCCCAGUGUAGAGGUGAAAUUCGUAGAUAUUGGGAAGAACACCAGUGGCGAAGGCGGCUCACUGGCUCGUAACUGACGCUCAGGCGCGACAGCGUGGGGAUCAAACAGGAUUAGAUACCCUGGUAGUCCACGCCGUAAACGAUGAAUGCUAGCCGUUGGAUAGCUUGCUAUUCAGUGGCGCAGCUAACGCAUUAAGCAUUCCGCCUGGGGAGUACGGCCGCAAGGUUG
rnacentral:rRNA from 1 species